rnacentral:rRNA from 1 species
AUUGAACGCUGGCGGAAUGCUUUACACAUGCAAGUCGAACGGCAGCACGGGGCAACCUGGUGGCGAGUGGCGAACGGGUGAGUAAUAUAUCGGAACGUGCCCAAUCGUGGGGGAUAACGUAGCGAAAGUUACGCUAAUACCGCAUACGAUCUACGGAUGAAAGCGGGGGAUCGCAAGACCUCGCGCGAAUGGAGCAGCCGAUAUCAGAUUAGGUAGUUGGUGGGGUAAAGGCUCACCAAGCCAACGAUCUGUAGCUGGUCUGAGAGGACGACCAGCCACACUGGAACUGAGACACGGUCCAGACUCCUACGGGAGGCAGCAGUGGGGAAUUUUGGACAAUGGGCGCAAGCCUGAUCCAGCCAUUCCGCGUGCAGGAUGAAGGCCUUCGGGUUGUAAAC